GCGGGUGUGCGGAAUUGGCAGACGCACUAGAUUUAGGAUCUAGCGCCUUACGGCGUGGGGGUUCAAGUCCCUUCACCCGCA
rnacentral:tRNA from 1 species